rnacentral:rRNA from 1 species
CCUACGGGAGGCAGCAGUGAGGAAUAUUGGUCAAUGGACGAGAGUCUGAACCAGCCAAGUAGCGUGAAGGAUGACUGCCCUAUGGGUUGUAAACUUCUUUUAUAUGGGAAUAAAAUGUUCCACGUGUGGGAUUUUGUAUGUACCAUAUGAAUAAGGAUCGGCUAACUCCGUGCCAGCAGCCGCGGUAAUACGGAGGAUCCGAGCGUUAUCCGGAUUUAUUGGGUUUAAAGGGAGCGUAGGUGGAUUGUUAAGUCAGUUGUGAAAGUUUGCGGCUCAGCCGUAAAAUUGCAGUUGAAACUGGCAGUCUUGAGUACAGUAGAGGUGGGCGGAAUUCGUGGUGUAGCGGUGAAAUGCUUAGAUAUCACGAAGAACUCCGAUUGCGAAGGCAGUUCACUGGACUGCAACUGACACUGAGGCUCGAAAGUGUGGGUAUCAAACAGGAUUAGAUACCCGAGUAGUC